rnacentral:misc_RNA from 1 species
GAAAAAGGAGCUAUUAGAAUGAGCCUAAAUAGCUUGUUCGCACCACUAACCUGUGCAAGUUUCCUUUACCAAAAUCAUUGUCCUUUCAAAAAAGAAAAAUGUUGCUUUUGAACACCUACACAACUUUUUACAGUUUUUCUACCAGUGAACAUGUCUUGACCAUCUCCUAACGGUACCACUUGAAGGAUCUUACCAGUUAGACACUAUGUAGUCCAAUUUUUCAAUACCUCGGUUGCAAAAAAGACUAAUCAAAUACUGAAUUGCCAUCACCCUUCGAAUCUCUGAUCAUGCACCAAUGUGUAAGUGCUUUGAGAUCAAAGCAGGGACUUGAUAAGAGGGCUUUCAUUUCAAGUAUGCAAACAUCUAAUCAUAGCCUGUACAUGAUCCGAGCAAAGUAUGUCACAUUAACCUUAUUGUGUAAUUGUCUUUGAUUCAAACUCAAACUAACUAGUUCAUAGAACCGGAUACAAAAGAGUGAAAGCAUCAGCGGCAUACUUGUGAUGAAAAUUCUCUAAUAAACAAUCACAAGUAUGAAUCAAGAUAUCCAUAUGCAUGCCUUUUGUUAUACUGUAGCAAGCUUGCAUAAGUCCGGUCCCAGAUUCCUAUGUAUAAAGACUCGUCAUCUGGACUUAAAGCCACUCCUGAAAUCUCACCAAAGAAAUCUAUCUCUUGUCGCCUUUUAUAGUCUGCCUUGGUGCUAUACACAUGAACAAAAUCUGCAGGUUCAGCCACGACCAUGAACUGGCCAUCUGAUGAAAAGCGAAUAGAUCGGACAGCACCCAAGUUUCCCUUUAGAAUUACAAGUGGCGAGGACAAAUUUCUUAUAUCCCAUACCCGGCAAGUUUUAUCCUGAUUACCUGUAGCGAAAACAUGUCCAUCUGGGUGCCACGCAGAUGCAAAAGAGUAAUCCAGAUGACCUCCAACUGAGGCUAUGACCUUUCCAUUAUGCGCAUCAACAAGCAAACCAUCCAGGUGAUCCCCAACGACAGCAAUUAGCCUACGGUUAGGGCUUAAUGAUGUAUGAUUAACUGGCCAAGAGAAGCGGAAGUGAUUCAGAAGCUGAAACCUCUCCAUGUCAUAUUCUCUUAUGCUGCAAUCAUUGUUGGAAGCCAUAAAAUGAAUUCCACCCCUCCAGCUGUCAUAUAUCUCAACAGCAUUUGUGAUGGCAUUAUCAUCAUAUGUGGUGCGGGUACAAAAGCUAAUGCCUUUUUUGUCCAAACGUUUGCAAGUAAGCUCUCCUUGGAAACCACCAGCAACAAGAAAAUUAUCCUUGACUGCCAAUGUGCCAAUUUGAGUUUGUGUGAAACCUUCCAGCAAACUUCCAGCAUGUUUCUCAGUAGGUGCUAUAUGUCCUGCAAAAUUGAUGACCUCAGACAAAUUGGAAGAUAAAGAUGACCAGUGCAUAACUGAAUAAUUAGACAUAAGAUAAACAUCAUGUUUCGAGGUAGCCCAAACCAAGUUUCUGAGCUGAAAAUGAAGAAUUGUGGGUUUAACCAGUCUAGUAUUAUGAAAGAAUUCAUAGUAGUUGCCACCCUUCUCCAUUUGCUUGCACUCCUUAUCUACAGCUUGACCAGACAAAGGGAUGUUCUCAUAAUUCUUGUAUUGUUCAAGCCUUGUCAAUCUGUACUUAUCCCUCGUUAUGUUCAAUCUUUCCCACGGAAUACCCUGUAUGUCUUUGCCCUUCCUAGCUUGAGCAGAAGAUGUAUCAGUCACCUUCGUGAGCAUGUCAUAUUCAUCUGCUUCAAUUUCUACAUUGCCUUCACCACCAUAGUUAUCUUGGUCCAUUUGGUCUACCAAAUCAGCCAUUUCUCCCUCUUCCGCCAUGUAAUCAAAUUCGCCUAACUGCUGGUCGGACAUGCUAUGCCUGCAAAAUAGUAUUCGCGAAAACUGCGUAGUCAAAGAUGAAUAGGUGAGAAGAAAGAGGAAGUGUAAAAGAGCAGGGGUUUUAAGAAGUUUUGUCGGCAAAAACCGUCUCUUUAAUUGAUUACGAGCGCACGCAACUCACCAUCUUUUUAUGUGUUUUUAUGCGUUUUAUGAGGGAAACCAAGAAGACAGAAAAAAGGACGACCACCACUAC